UACGUAGGGAGCAAGCGUUGUCCGGAAUCAUUGGGCGUAAAGCGCGCGUAGGUGGCCACAUAAGUCCGUUGUGAAAGUCAAAGGCUCAACCUUUGAAAGCCGAUGGAUACUGUGUGGCUAGAGUACGGAAGAGGCGAGUGGAAUUCCUGGUGUAGCGGUGGAAUGCGUAGAUAUCAGGAGGAACACCGGUGGCGAAGGCGGCCUUCUGGACGGCUGCUGACGCUGAGACGCGAAAGCGUGGGGAGCAAACAGG
rnacentral:rRNA from 1 species